rnacentral:rRNA from 1 species
UAAAGAAUAAGGAUCGGCUAACUCCGUGCCAGCAGCCGCGGUAAUACGGAGGAUCCGAGCGUUAUCCGGAAUCAUUGGGUUUAAAGGGUCCGUAGGCGGGCCAUUAAGUCAGGGGUGAAAGUCUGCGGCUCAACCGUAGAAUUGCCCUUGAUACUGGUGGUCUUGAGUUAUGGUGAAGUAACUAGAAUAUGUAGUGUAGCGGUGAAAUGCAUAGAUAUUACAUAGAAUACCGAUUGCGAAGGCAGGUUACUAACCAUAUACUGACGCUGAUGGACGAAAGCGUGGGGAGCGAACAGGAUUAGAUACCCUGGUAGUCCACGCCGUAAACGAUGGAUACUAGCUGUCCGGAUGCAAAUCUGGGCGGCCAAGCGAAAGUGAUAAGUAUCCCACCUGGGGAGUACGUCCGCAAGGAUGAAACUCAAAGGAAUUGACGGGGGCCCGCACAAGCGGUGGAGCAUGUGGUUUAAUUCGAUGACACGCGAGGAACCUUACCAGGGCUUAAAUGUGGUCUGACAGCUUUAGAGAUAGAGCCUCCUUCGGGCAGAUCACAAGGUGCUGCAUGGUUGUCGUCAGCUCGUGCCGUGAGGUGUCAGGUUAAGUCCUAUAACGAGCGCAACCCCUGCCGUUAGUUGCCAGCAUGUAAAGAUGGGGACUCUAACGGGACUGCCGGUGCAAACCGCGAGGAAGGUGGGGAUGACGUCAAAUCAUCACGGCCCUUACGUCCUGGGCCACACACGUGCUACAAUGGCCGGUACAGAGAGCAGCCACUGGGCAACCAGGAGCGAAUCUAUAAAACCGGUCACAGUUCGGAUCGGGGUCUGCAACUCGACCCCGUGAAGCUGGAAUCGCUAGUAAUCGGAUAUCAGCCAUGAUCCGGUGAAUACGUUCCCGGGCCUUGUACACACCGCCCGUCAAGCCAUGGAAGCCGGGAGUGCCUGAAGUCCGUCACCGCAAGGAGCGG